rnacentral:tRNA from 1 species
GGAGAGGUGGCCGAGUGGCUUAAGGCGCAUGCUUGGAAAGCAUGUAUAUGCGCAAGCAUAUCAAGGGUUCGAAUCCCUUUCUCUCCG